rnacentral:rRNA from 1 species
GGAGGCAGCAGUAGGGAAUCUUCCGCAAUGGGCGAAAGCCUGACGGAGCAAUGCCGCGUGAGUGAUGAAGGUUUUCGGAUCGUAAAGCUCUGUUGCCAGGGAAGAACGCUUGGGAGAGUAACUGCUCUCAAGGUGACGGUACCUGAGAAGAAAGCCCCGGCUAACUACGUGCCAGCAGCCGCGGUAAU